AGUGAACGCUGGCGGUAGGCCUAACACAUGCAAGUCGAACGGCAGCACAGUAAGAGCUUGCUCUUACGGGUGGCGAGUGGCGGACGGGUGAGGAAUACAUCGGAAUCUACUUUUUCGUGGGGGAUAACGUAGGGAAACUUACGCUAAUACCGCAUACGACCUACGGGUGAAAGCAGGGGAUCUUCGGACCUUGCGCGAUUGAAUGAGCCGAUGUCGGAUUAGCUAGGUGGCGGGGUAAAGGCCCACCAAGGCGACGAUCCGUAGCUGGUCUGAGAGGAUGAUCAGCCACACUGGAACUGAGACACGGUCCAGACUCCUACGGGAGGGAGCAGUGGGGAAUAUUGGACAAUGGGCGCAAGCCUGAUCCAGCCAUACCGCGUGGGUGAAGAAGGCCUUCGGGUUGUAAAGCCCUUUUGUUGGGAAAGAAAAGAAGCAGGUUAAUACCCCGCUGUUCUGACGGUACCCAAAGAAUAAGCACCGGCUAACUUCGUG
rnacentral:rRNA from 1 species